UUUCGUCUGCACACUGAGAGGAUGAGAAUCUCCGAAGGAGGUUUGAGCCGAACGUAGUGAGACCACGUUGCUUUAGCAACGGCCCGCAGGGCAAGCAUCGAAGAUGCGCAUAAUCCUCUCAUGCCGAGCA
rnacentral:sRNA from 2 species